CGGGCCUCGGGACCUGCGAAACCCUGAGAUCGCAGUGCUGUAGGCGCGGGGGGUGGGCGCCGGGGGACACCCUGGGGCACAGCCCUGUCCGGGACAGCCCACUCGCACCUGCAGCCCUGGCCGGGCCGCUGUGUCUUGCGGCUGAGCGCCGGGUAAAGCAGGGCGCUUGCCUAGGGGAACGUGUCGUUGGAGAAUUACGGUAAGGUCUUUCCGCGGAGGAAUCGCAGUUGCCCCGGGAAGGUGCGCGGGGGCUGUGCUGCCGCCUGGGCGGUCUCAGAAGUUUGAGGAGGCCUGCUGACCCCUGCCUGGAGUCAGGGACACCCUGCUCUGGGCCCUUCCCUGAACACCGGGCAGUGCUUCGCAGUCUUCUGUAGUCCGCGGCCAUCCCGGGACGCUUUCGCCUUCCAUCCCGGGAUAGGAAGCGGGAGGCUCCGAGUGAUUUGCCCCAGAGAAACGCAUGAGCUGAGGUUGCCUUUAACCCACACUGCUGUUGGGUCCUCAGCCAAGCCUUUUACAGACGAAGACAGGACUCUGAGAGGCCACCAGACCCUCCCCGGUCACACAGCUGCUCUUCACCUGUUGCACAUUAUCCCUGAAUACGAGAUGUUUUCUAUUCCUGCACCGUCCCUCCGACGUGAGACACGACACCCAGAAAUCCUUCUGGACGUGGAGGGACAAAAGGCUGCUAAAAUCGGAAAACCUGGCUAUUGAUCAGCGCUACUUCCAGAGAAAGGUUUUGAUCAAAAAGGAGAAAAUCAUACGAGAGAGCUUAACCUGGACAGAAAUCAGGAGGGGCUGUGAGAAGAGCUAUCACACCUAUGUAAUUGUGAGAGCCCUGUGGGAAGAACUCUGCCUUUACAAAAGAGCUCUAUGGUUGUAACAGCCCCUAAACUCCCUCUUCCCCUCUAUAAAGUACUUCCUCCCUCUUUGUACAUGUGGCUCAUCAUGUCUGCAUGUACCAGACUGCAAUUCCUUCUUUUUCCUGAAUAAAUCGUUUAUGUGA